GAGGAAGCCCGGUGCGAAUCCGGCGCGGUCCCGCCACUGUGAACCCCGCCCCGCAAGGGGCGGGCGAGCCAGGAACUC
rnacentral:ncRNA from 2 species